rnacentral:rRNA from 1 species
ACGCACGCUGGCGGCGUGCUUAACACCUGCCAGUCGAACGGAAAGGCCCUGCUUUUGUGGGGUGCUCGAGUGGCGAACGGGUGAGUAACACGUGAGUAACCUGCCCUUGACUUUGGGAUAACUUUAGGAAACUGGGGCUAAUACCGGAUAGGAGCUCCUGCUGCAUGGUGGGGGUUGGAAAGUUUCGGCGGUUGGGGAUGGACUCGCGGCUUAUCAGCUUGUUGGUGGGGUAGUGGCUUACCAAGGCUUGGACGGGUAGCCGGCCUGAGAGGGUGACCGGCCACAUUGGGACUGAGAUACGGCCCAGACUCCUACGGGAGGCAGCAGUGGGGAAUAUUGCACAAUGGGCGGAAGCCUGAUGCAGCAACGCCGCGUGCGGGAUGACGGCCUUCGGGUUGUAAACCGCUUUCGCCUGUGACGAAGCGUGAGUGACGGUAAUGGGUAAAGAAGCACCGGCUAACUACGUG